UACGUAGGUGGCAAGCGGGGUCCGGAUUUACUGGGCGUAAAGAGCGCGCAGGCGGCUGGGCAAGGCCGAUGUGAAAUCUCCCGGCUUAACUGGGAAACUGCAUCGGAAACUGAUCGGCUUGAAGGUGGGAGAGGGUAGUGGAAUUCCCGGUGUAGUGGUGAAAUGCGUAGAUAUCGGGAGGAACACCAGUGGCGAAGGCGACUACCUGGCCCAUUCUUGACGCUGAGGCGCGAAAGCUAGGGGAGCGAACGGG
rnacentral:rRNA from 1 species